AACAAACGUAUUCACGCGUGAUUUUAAUUACGUUUCUUAUUUAACGGAAACACAGCAAUUGUGAAAUUGUGUUUCUUCAUAGUGGC